CACACGUCAGACCUAGACAGACUUAGCAACUUACACUUAUGAUGAAAUUUUUGUUUACCAUUUCUCUGCUCUAUGGUGUUAUCAAUGUCAUGAAGACUCGCUGAGGACAGAACCUGCAGAGCCAACAGCAACAACACCGAUGGAUACAUCUGAAUAUGACAGGACAAAAUCAGUCUUAGUUACCAGCAGUUUAAAACUACAUUUAAAAAAUCUGGACCUCACUGCUCAGAAGUUUCAGGAAGGAGCAUGUUGUCACGGUUACAGUCAGUACUGUACAAUCCUUCGCACCAUCCUGUGCUGGACAGCCACAGGAACACGAUUAACAAAAGACUCAUUCGACCAUAGGGUUCCCUUAAAAAACGGAAUCGUCCCGUAUUUAGAAACAAAAGUACACGUCCCGUAUUGAGCUAAUAAGGGACGCACUUUGUCCCGUAAUACAGUGAGACUCAAAAGUAGUCUAUAAAUGUUAAUGGAAUUAAAGCUUUGUUUGAAAACAUAAUUCCCAGCCCCUCUCCUGCUUUGUGACCAAUGAGCUGACAGCACACUUAUGACAAUUCGAGUAUGACAAUUCAGAUUACCGCUUAUCUCAUUGGUCGAGGAAAGGUUGCUUACGGAGAAAAUACCGGAAGACAACAGAUGACCACAACAAGAAGCAUGGCCAACAGGGAAACAAACGCAGACACUGCGGUGCAAGUCUCGGACGACAGUACACCUAAAGCUGGGCAUACACUGUGCGAUUUUCAAACUGCACGAUUGACUCGCAGGAGUUAUAAGUUGGUAGGUCACGAUGCAGGGUCUCACACUAUACCGCCCGAUGCUCUGAUGCGACCUGAGUGCUCACACUGUGCCUCCAUAAAAUGAAGGUUAUAACAGAAAUUCUGUCGCUCGCUCUCCCUCUGUGUCUUUCACUCACACAGACACGCACUAAAUUGCUAAAGAAAGAUAUUGAUCAGGCAGCUGUGAUUGAGCAGCAAUGUAAAUCCAACUAUUUUCACGGUUGUUGUGGUCGUGAUAAUUUUGUGAUGCCACAUCAAAAAGGCUCGGAUGAGCUUUCCAAAGUUCUACAAGUUGUGCCUCCAUCGCUUGUGUCCAGAUCACACGCUGCACAGCCGUGCUGCUCCGUCUUUUUCACCGCCGUUUACGUGUUUGCGCGUGAGCAGUGUGAGCGGCUGCGGUGACAUCCUCACAAGUGAUUGAUGAUCGGGGCUGGUCAUGAGGUGUUAAUCGCUUCUCGUUGCCCCACGUAUACUGCACGAUGCAUGAUGAAGGCCAAAAUCGGGCCGAUCACCAAAACGGUCGCACGACUCAAAAAUUGGUUCAAAAUGGGCCAAAAAUCGCACAGUGUAAGCCCAGCAUUAGACCAGCAAUGUUUGUUCCCCUCAGAGAAAGAAAAAAAGGCUGCAAAAGUACAGGGAGGAAUGGGAAAAGUAAAACACCUGGCUGGAAAAAGUGCACGAUAACACCUAUAAAGCGCACUGCACUGUGUGCCGGCACACUUUUUCCAUAGGCCAUGGUGGACUGACUGACCUCAAGCAACAUGCUUCUAAUGGUGGGCACAUGAAGAACAUGAGGGGCGUGAAAGCUCGGGGAACCCUUAACCAAUUUUUUUGUCCACCAGGCCACGGCAGAAGCAGAUAUGGUAUGUAAACACUGGUUUGUUUUUUUUAAACCCUCUGGUUAAGGUUAAUAUGGGCAUGUGCAGUGAAUAUCAGCGCUAUGUGGCCAGAAGUGUGAUAAUAUAUUUUGUGUAAUAAACAACGGCAAGGAUAGAUGAUUACAACAAAUAGAUGACUAAUACAUAAAAGUAAUACAUAGAUGAAUAAUGAUGAUGAGUUAUGAUGCGUAAUCAUGGGAACAAGCGGGUUUACAAACGGCAGCAGCUGAUUAGCAUUAGAAAAGCUGAAAUAAUGCCUCAACUGAAGCCAAUUGCACUAAAUGCACUAUAUGUGCACAGUUACAAGAAUGUUUUUCGUUUUAUUGUUUUCUAUUCAUUUAUAUAAUUUUAAGUUAAGCAGGACAGAGUUCUUUUAAAGAAAGAUUUACUUAUAUUCUCAAAAGUUAAGCAUGACAGGCUUCUGUUUAAGAAAGAGUUCUGUUUUAUUGUGUUAAUGUUGUCAUUUUGAGCUAAAAAUAAAUGGCUAAAUGAUCAUUUGUUUCCUAUAUGGUCAUAUCACAAAGAAUAUGCAUCUACUUAAAUCAAAUUCAAGUCAAAUGGUUAAAAAACUAAUUUCACACACACACAAAAAAAAGAGCUACAAAAUUCACCACACUGGGAAGGGUGAAGACAACUGGGUUACCCGGCUCUGGCCACGAGGUGUCCCUUAUUUAUUUUUCAGGGAGUUGGCAACCCUAUUCGACCAGGACACACCAAAAAAUCAUUCAAACUUUAUAAUUCCUCUUUUGACACCUGGAUUAUUUUCACUUGAAAUAUCUUGUCUAUGCUGAACAUAAUAUUUGCCCCUGUGAUUAUUAAAGUAUUCUGAUUCUCAGUGUCUUGUU